UAGGAAAAUGCCAAGGGGGGGUGAAUACUUUCGCAAGCCACUGUAUCCUACCGGAACACAUGAUUAGAGCAUUUUACUAGUUGCAUUGUAGUUGAGACUACUGUUACAAUUUUUUGGGGGGGAGGUGGAAAGUCCACAGGAUUUAUUUUACGAUCAGUGUGGGACAUCUCAGUGAUAUCUCAAGAUGUAUUCCAAGGUCGUCCACCCCUCUCUGUUCUCGUGGGGAAGUAUACAACUUGAUUUGUUUCCUUAGCAGUCGGCCUCGUACAGUGUUGCACGUAGCCUCGACGAGGCACAUCAUGGGUCUGGGCUAGUAUUCCCCUCCUUUGUGUCUUGGGACCCCCCAACCAGCGGUUGGUGUUGGUGUCUGAGGCACAAACAAAAAGGUUGUGCCCUUUGUACGAGUUGUCAGCAGCCGUGUUGUUAGUAGAUUGGAUGUAACCUUUCAACCAAAUCUCUUGGUGUUUGUGCUUCAAAACUCUCAGUGGCUGUCGUGGCCUGCCAUUCACCACAGCGUCCGCGUGUGGCAACCGUUCCAGUACCUGCCAACUGAGACGAGGAUAUCUGAGUCAGAUUCUGCACCAAGAGCUGGGAUGCUACCGGACGUAGUUCAGGGAUGAUCGUGGUGGGAGUGAUCAUCGGCUCCAAGAGGAUAAGCAUCAACCCAGACAAUGUGGCCACACCCAUUGCUGCCAGCUUCGGUGACCUCAUCACCCUGGCCUGCCUCAGCCAGGGGCACUAUGAAUGCAUAGAGUAUUAUCCCUAUGUGUCUGAUCUGCCUCUGCCUGACCCAUCUGUGGGUGGUCGUCUCCUUCAGAAACCCAGCCAGUUGCAUUCUACUCUACACAGGCUGGGAACCAAUCAUCACUGCCAUGGUCAUCAGCAGAUCUGCUACCCUGUUCCGUGCCCAUGAAGUCCAGUCACAGCAUUCGAAUCUUGUGAACUUCAUGGAAAUACCAUGCUUCAAUUUAUUUUUUUCUCUACUAUCGGAGGACUCAUCCUGAACACAACUGUAUCAGACCUGAACAUGGUGGGAAUUUAUUUAUUUGACCUUUAUUUAACUAGGCAGGUCAGUUAAUAACAAAUUCUUAUUUUCAAUGACGGCCUAGAAACAGUGGAUUAACUGCCUUGUUCAGGGGCAGAACGACAUAUGGUAUCAUAUGGAAUGAUAGUCUACACGCCAGUUAUGAAUAGUAAGACGGGGAGCUGGGUUUUUAGGAGCACACAUUCAGGAUCCUUCAAGAAAAUGGUAAGUCAUAAUGCAUAUGAUCAUUGUGUCUCUCCUCCUCAUCUCAAUCUCGGCGUUGGGGGGAACUUGGGAGAGGUGCCUGAGGAUCAAAGGAGCUGCUACAACCCCUGCAGGACCUUUUGUGGCUCAGGUCUUCACUCUGCUGUGUCUUGCUGACUGGAUGGUCCAUUGCCUGUGGCGGACGGGCAAGGACACAGACUGUUACUCCAGCCCCUACCUCACCGCUCUGGGGAUCUAUUGGGCACGGCCCUCCUCGCUCUGGCCUUCUUCCUGCUCUGGCUCAUAGGGGAGCAGGUUCCCACUGGAGACUGACACCCUGGGUGCUUCAUCUUAUACUAUUCUCCUUUCAUUCUGCCUGGGUAAAAGUAGGCACGAAACAUGGCAAUGCCUUCAAAUUAUGGAGGUAACUCCACAGACAGUUGAGAAAUUCUAAACAUUCCCUUUACAAGUCAAAUGUCUAAUAAAUUAAUUUGAAUUUAUUCAGACGAUUGUUUUGUGGUGUUGGACCUUCAGUUGGUUGAAAUUUGAGACAAUAUCCACAGGAAAGUGUUAUUAAUCCAACUUCAAAAUGCGGUUCUCUGCAUGUGACAAUCAAGAUUUUUUUGCUCUUGCACAUGACAAAAGUAACCGAAGUCUGCAGGUGUUUACAUGGUUUUUCACAUGUGCCAGGUUAUAUAAAUUUAAACGGCAGUACAGGCGCUCUAAAAAGUCAGAUAAACAAUACUUUUUUGUGGAUAUUUUGUCUCAAAUUUCGACUGGCUGAAGGACCAACCACACAGACAACCGGUAAAGUUCAAAUACUGAACAAAAAUAUAAACGCAACAUGCAAUGCAAAUUAAAAGAAUUUUACAGAGUUAGUUGAUAUAAGUCAAUUUAAAUAAAUUCAUUAGGUCCUAAUCUAUGGAUUUCACGACUGGGAAUACAGAUAUGCUUCUGGUCACAGGUAGGGGCCUGGAUCAGAAACAGUCAGUAUCUGGUGUGAUCACCAUUUGCCUCAUGCAGCGCGACAUCUCCUUCGCAUAGAGUUGAUCAGGCUGUUGACUGGCUCUUGGAUGGCGUCUUGCCAUCCAGGACCUCUAUACCAGGCGGUGUCAGAGGAAGGCCCUAAAAAUUGUCUAAGACUCCAGCCACCCUAGUCAUAGACUGUUCUCUCUGCUACCGCACGGCAAGCAGUACUGGAGCACCAAGUCUAGGUCCAAGAGGCUUCUAAACCGCUUCUACCCCCAAGCCAUAAGACUCCUGAACAUCUAAUCAAAUGGCUACCCAGACUAUUUGCAUUGCCCCCCUUCCCCGCUUCUACGCUGCUGCUACUCUCUGUUAUUAUCUAUGCAUAGUCACUUUAAUAACUCUACCUACAUGUACAUAUUACCUCAAAUACCUCGACAAACCAGUACCCCCUGUAUAUAGCCUCGCUAUUGUUAUCUUACCGCUGCUCUGUAAUUAUUUAUUACUUUUAUUUCUUACUUUUUUAAAGUAUUUUCUUAAAACUGUAUUGUUGGUUAAGGGCUUGUAAGUAAGCAUUUCACUGUAAGGUCUACACCUUGUUGUAUUCGGCGCAUGUGACAAAUAACAUUUAAUUUGAUUGUGGAAUGUUGUCCCACUCCUUUAAAAAAAAAAUCUUCUUAUUUAUUUAUUUUUACCCCUUUUUCUCCCCAAUUUUGUGGUAUCCAAUUGGUAGUUACAGUCUUGUCAGUUGGGGAGUUGCAGCGAUGAGACUCGGGAGCGGUGAAGGUCAAGAGCCAUGCGUCCUCCCGAAGCACGACCCAACCAAGCCGCACUGCUUCUUGACACAAUGCCCAUUUAACCCGGAAGCCAGAAAACCAAUGUGUCAGAGGAAACAUCGUACACCUGGCGACCGUGUCAGCGUGCACUGCGCCCGGCCCGCCACAGGAGUUGCUAGUGCGCGAUGGAACAAGGACAUCCCUGCCGGCCAAACCCUCCCCUAACCCGGACGACACUGGGCCAAUUGUGCACCUCCCCAUGGGUCUCCUGGUCACGACAGAGCCUGGACUCGAACCCAGAAUCUCUAGUUGCACAGCUAGCACUGCGAUGCCUUGGUUGGGUUGUGUUUUGUGGUCCCGUGUGGCUCAGUUGGUAGAGCAUGGUGUUUGCAACGCCAGGGUUGUGGGUUCGAUUCCCACGGGGGACCAGUAUGGAGAAAAAAUGUAUGAAAUGUAUGCAUUCACUACUGUAAGUUGCUCUGGAUAAGAGUGUCUGCUAAAUGAUUAAAAUGUAAAUGUGCCUUAAACCACUGCACCACUUGGGAGGCCUGUCCCACUCCUUUUCAAUGGCUGUGUGAAGUUACUGGAUAUUGGUCGGAAACUGGAACACGCUGUCGUACAUGUCAAUCCAGAGCAUCCCAAACAUACUGAAUGGGUGACAUGUCUGAGUAUGCAGGCCAUGGAAGAACUGGGACAUUUUGAGCUUCCAGGAAUUGUGUAAAGAUCCUUGCGACAUGGUGACGUGCAUUAUCAUGCUGAAACAUGAGGUGAUGGCAGCAGAUGAAUGGCACGACAAUGGGCCUCAGGAUCUUGUCGUGGUAUCUCUGAAGUUAAAAUAGAUUUUUGCUCUUCUCACUAAUGGCAAAUGGUUGAGCUUGUUUCUUUUUUCCCCAUUUGCACAAAAUACUUACUUGCCAGCUUGCAAUAUGGCAUGGGGCAUUAUCCUGCUUUAAAAAUCUAUUCACAGGUGGAUACACUGCUGCCAUGAAGGGAUGCACCUGAUUGGCAAUGAUGUACUUCCCAAGUACUUCUCUGCCGCUGCCACCACAACCUCCUUUUCUGUGACUUUCCAUCCAUUUCUGAAGUACAAUUGACAACCAUGGCUAUAAAUGCUCAAAAGCCCACCAUACUGAAGAACAUAUUCUUCAUAAUCACUCUCUCUGUCUCUGCCUACUCACAGGAAUCCUCUCAGAAUCCCUCACCCUGUACCCAUCUUCCUCUACCACUCUUCACUGCUUCGGCACAUAACACUUUUUGUACUACUCUAAACCUGGCAACGUCAAUCUGCCUUUCUCUCACCGGACACCUCCUAUCUCCAGCCCCAUGGGCAACCCCUACAACUAACACACAACUUUCUCCACCGAUGCCAUACAUUCCUUCGUCUCAUGCCCUUCUGCACACUUCUAUUUACUCAAAACAUAUUCCACUUUUCUCCCUUUUUUCUUGUCCACCAUCUUGUCCUUCACCAGAUCUUCCAGAAGGCUUGUGCAAUCCCCACUCCAUAUUUAUUCAUAAUAUGGUCCAUUUUCUUCAUUUUUUUUUCUUGUUCGCGAUCUUACGGUGUGUCUAAACUCCAGUCCCUCUCAAUCUCUUCUUCACAAUCCACGUCUCAAUUGUCUCAAGGCAUCUGUCUCCUCCCCUUCAUCUACACUGACUGAAGUGGAUUUAACAGGUGACAUCAAUAAGGGAUCAUUGCUUUCACAUGGUCAGUCUAUGUCAAGGAAAAAACAGGCAUUCCUAAUGUUUUGUACACAUGUAUAUUUUUAUUAUUUUAUAAAAUGGCAUCUAGUGGUCUUUUUGGGUACUGCAGAUUAUCACAGGUGUGUAAUUAUUUCUACCCACAGCAAUAAUUACACAUCUGAUAAUCUGCAGUACCCAAAAAUACCACUAGAUGCCAUUUUAUAAAAUAAUACAAUCUCACGUAAAAUAUAUAAAAUAAUGAAAGAUGAUUUUAAAAUAAAAUAUUUACUGACCAAGCUGUAAAACAUUAUCCUAAAUAUAAACCAUCAACUUAGUAAAUAACAUUGGUGUUUAUUAUGAGGCCUCAGGUUUCAGCAUGAAAUAUCCUUCUUUUUUUUACACACUUAUUUAUUUUGCUAUGUCCAAAUGUCUUUGUUGUAAAUGUUUUGGCACCAAACUGGUGGCAGUUAUGAAAAAAGUGAAUAGUUGGAAGAGUUUCAGUUAAUUGAAAAGAAUGCCAUUGUUGAUUAGAUACUUUUUUCAUUAAUUAUGCUAUUUUCUCUUGAACCAUAUGUUCUAUCCCCUAUAAACUAAUUGACACACAUAUAUAUAUAUAUAUAUAUAUAUAUAUAUAUAUAUAUAUAUAUAAAAAAU
rnacentral:lncRNA from 1 species